CCUACGGGAGGCAGCAGUGGGGAAUAUUGCACAAUGGGCGAAAGCCUGAUGCAGCAACGCCGCGUGAAGGAAGAAGGGUUUCGGCUCGUAAACUUCUAUCAAUGGGGAAGAAACAAAUGACGGUACCCAAAUAAGAAGCCCCGGCUAACUACGUGCCAGCAGCCGCGGUAAU
rnacentral:rRNA from 1 species